rnacentral:rRNA from 1 species
GGCUCACCAAGGCGACGAUCAGUAGCCGACCUGAGAGGGUGAUCGGCCACAUUGGAACUGAGACACGGUCCAAACUCCUACGGGAGGCAGCAGUGGGGAAUAUUGCACAAUAGGCGAAAGCCUGAUGCAGCAACGCCGCGUGAGCGAUGAAGGCCUUCGGGUCGUAAAGCUCUGUCCUCAAGGAAGAUAAAGACGGUACUGAGGAGAAGCCCC